CUGCGUGUUCCUCCUCGUGGCUCUGCAGCCCCUCCAGGCUCCGCGCUGCUCGCCAAAAUCACUGCGGCUGUUCACCAGUGUGGUGGGCGGGUCCUUUGUGAUUUACUGAGUGCUCAUUGGUUGUUUUUUUCGAAAAAUGUUGACAGACAAACGGAUUGACAAAUCACGGUGAAGGGUUUCGUGUGACGAGUUCUUUCCGCGCCAACGCACACCGGAAGUAAACAAAGUCGCGAUUUGGACAAGUUUGGCGGGCCGGAUUAAAAAGCCUAACGGGCCGGAUGUGGCCGUAGUUUGCCCAUGUCUGCCCUAACCCCAUCUCCACCCAGUCUUCAUGGAUCCAUCAGCUUCAACUCAUCUUUCUCUCUGCUCAUCAUCACCACCAGAUAUCUAGCAGAGCAUCAGCUCUGAGUCAUCCGCCAGCCUCAGUCUCAUCAUGCCGAAGGACAAUGCCUUGGUGAAGACACCGUUGUGCGAGGGUUACCAGGAGCAGAGCGCCGUGGGGCUGAGACUGACAGCGAGUGGGACUGCUGCUAGGAACUCAACGCUGCUGGCUGACUGAACAUUCAUUCAGAAAGUGCAGCAAUUGAAAAAAAGAGGCCUUUGUGAGUUAACAUUACAACUCCCCUCUGGCAUAUCAUCUCACUGGGGCUGGGCUAUUUGAUCAACUCGGGGGUGGUUCUACCUCGAACUGUUUCCAGACAAUUUGAACAGCAGGAAAGAGCUCAAAACCACAGCCUGACUUUGUGCAUCAGCUCAACUGAAAUAAGGUCUAAAUGCGGGCUGGCAUCAUUACACAGCAUUGCAACACAGCUUGUUUGUGUGUUUGUUGUCAUUUUUUCUUUCUUCCUCUGCUCAUCCCUCCUGUCGCAUGUUUGGAGUCUAAACAAACCGGACAGCGGAGCCAGGAUGAAUGGCCCGCCAGAUGUCAGGGGAAGCUGCAGCAGACGCUUCCAAAACGCCUCGUGUUGACCCGAGAUAACGGCUAAGAGCAGACGGAGGAAAUGAUUGUUUGCUUCGAAUGUUUCGAUGUGAAAAAGGCGAAACAACCAAAUAAACACUGUUGUGACAUGG